rnacentral:rRNA from 1 species
UUGUGGCCUUUAGACAUACUACCAACGGCGGCGCGAGCGUAAGCCUCUUGGAACAGAGGGUCUACGUGGGUGAGAAUCCUGUGUUUCGCUUGAUGCCCGCCGUGCACGGUACUUGCUCUCAGAGUCACGCUCCUCGGAAUUGGAGCGUAAAUUGGGUGGUAAAUUUCAUCUAAAGCUAAAUACAGGCUCGAGACCGAUAGCAAACAAGUACCAUGAGGGAAAGAUGAAAAGGACUUUGAAAAGAGAGUUAAAAGUGCUUGAAAUCGCUGAACUGGAAGCGAAUGGAACUCNUCAGUAAUGGCGAAUGAACAGGGACAAACUUGGGUUGGAUACCCGUGCUUCUGCCUUGGAUUUGAAGUAAUUGCUUGCAAUUUGUAUCAUCUUGAACAUCUGGUCGAUUCAUAUACCAACAUGGCCCUUGGCUCAUGCUCUCUUGCUGAGGCGAUACUCUUGUGCCUCUGGGGAUUCAUG